rnacentral:rRNA from 1 species
UACGUAGGUGGCAAGCGUUAUCCGGAAUUAUUGGGCGUAAAGCGCGCGUAGGCGGUUUUUUAAGUCUGAUGUGAAAGCCCACGGCUCAACCGUGGAGGGUCAUUGGAAACUGGAAAACUUGAGUGCAGAAGAGGAAAGUGGAAUUCCAUGUGUAGCGGUGAAAUGCGCAGAGAUAUGGAGGAACGCCAGUGGCGAAGGCGACUUUCUGGUCUGUAACUGACGCUGAUGUGCGAAAGCGUGGGGAUCAAACAGGAU